CACCAAGAAAAUCAAUAGAGGGAUUCUCUCAACUGUUAGGUGUGGACUGAACACUGCAGCUUCAGUUUCAUGUUUUGGAUGCUACCAGACUCAUUCUACAUGGCAACCAUCAUAACCUUCAAGGAGACCAGACAGAAGCAGUGUCACAGAGUGCAGAGAAACCAGAAGAGAGCUAGUCAAAGGAAGACACAAGACCUGAGGAUCUGCACUCUUAUUUUGCAUUUGUCCCUGGUGAAUAAACCCAGUAGAUAUGGCUACAAACAGGAGGCAUGUUGUUAUAUGAUCAAGAAGACUUAGCUAAAAUAUGACAGAC
rnacentral:lncRNA from 1 species